UACGUAGGGGGCAAGCGUUAUCCGGAUUUACUGGGUGUAAAGGGUGCGUAGGCGGCCUGCUAAGUCUGGAGUGAAAGGUACCGGCUCAACCGGUACAGGCUCUGGAAACUGGCGGGCUAGAGAGCAGGAGAGGGCGGUGGAACUCCAUGUGUAGCGGUAAAAUGCGUAGAUAUAUGGAAGAACACCAGUGGCGAAGGCGGCCGCCUGGCCUGUUACUGACGCUGAGGCACGAAAGCGUGGGGAUCGAACAGG
rnacentral:rRNA from 1 species